rnacentral:tRNA from 1 species
UUCCUGAUAGCUCAGUUGGUAAAGAAUCUACCUGCAAUGCAGGAGGCCCUGGUUUGGAGGCCCUGGUCAGGAAG